GCCUGGCUAGCUCGGUUAGUAGAGCAUGAGACUCUUAAUCUCAGGGACGUGGGUUCGAGCUCCACGUUGGGCA